AUUGAACGCUGGCGGCAUGCUUUACACAUGCAAGUCGAACGGUAACAGGCCGCAAGGUGCUGACGAGUGGCGAACGGGUGAGUAAUGCAUCGGAACGUGCCCAGUCGUGGGGGAUAACUACUCGAACGAGUAGCUAAUACCGCAUACGAUCUAUGGAUGAAAGCGGGGGACCGUAAGGCCUCGCGCGAUUGGAGCGGCCGAUGUCAGAUUAGGUAGUUGGUGGGGUAAAGGCUCACCAAGCCAACGAUCUGUAGCUGGUCUGAGAGGACGACCAGCCACACUGGGACUGAGACACGGCCCAGACUCCUACGGGAGGCAGCAGUGGGGAAUUUUGGACAAUGGGCGCAAGCCUGAUCCAGCAAUGCCGCGUGCAGGAAGAAGGCCUUCGGGUUGUAAACUGCUUUUGUACGGAACGAAACGGCUCUGGUUAAUACCCGGGGCUAAUGACGGUACCGUAAGAAUAAGCACCGGCUAACUACGUG
rnacentral:rRNA from 1 species